GCAGUCGUGGUUUAGUGGUAGAAUUCUCACCUUCCAUGUGGGAAACAUGGUUCAAUUCCCAGCUAAUGCA
rnacentral:tRNA from 1 species